GGCCUGGUAGCCAAGUGGUAAGGCAGGAGUCUGCAAAACUCUUAUGCGCCGGUUCGAAUCCGGCCCAGGCCUCAA
rnacentral:tRNA from 1 species